rnacentral:rRNA from 1 species
AUACGGAGGGUGCAAGCGUUACUCGGAAUCACUGGGCGUAAAGCGCGCGCAGGCGGUCUUUUAAGUUGGAUGUGAAAGCCUACGGCUCAACCGUAGAACUGCAUCCAAAACUAUUAGACUAGAGUGUGGGAGAGGAAGAUGGAAUUAGUUGUGUAGGGGUAAAAUACGUAGAGAUAACUAGGAAUACCAAAAGCGAAGGCAAUCUUCUGGAACACUUCUGACGCUGAGGCGCGAAAGCGUGGGGAGCAAACAGGAUUAGAAACCCUAGUAGUCC